UUACGGUCAUAUCACGUUUAAACACCGGUUCUCGUCCGAUCAUCGAAGUUAAGCAACGUUGAGCCUGGUCAGUACCUAGAUCGGUUACGACUUGGGAAUAUCGGGUGCUGUAAG